AGGGGCAGAUUGUGGCAUCGAGCCUUAUCUAAAGUUAGUCAAACUGUGAAAACAACUUCUGCAGAUACUGCAAGAACUUUGGACUUAACUCGAGCUAGCAGGCGAUGUUCAGGACAGGCUGACAGUGAAUUACCACAAGCUUUUUCUCCACAGAGUUCCUUUUGUAUUUACAUCAUCAAUUCCAAUUUUGGACUUGAAAAGGAGACAGUGAUCCAGACAGUGAUUUCCUCCAAUAUCUUAUCUUCCCGUGUCUGUGUGUGUUUUCAACAGGCGGACCCAUGGGGUUACAGUCUUGCAAGCCUUGCAACUCCAGCUUGCAAAGUAAGGAGGAAUGCAGACCGGCUGGUGGCUGCUCAUGUGUGUGUGAAGACUGGACAUAUUGCUCUGAACACUGCUGUGACAUCUGCUGCCAGAUGUGUGUAGACGUGUGCUCUGGCUUGUGUUCAGGAGACUGCAGCUACACCUUCUGUACCCUCUGCCUCAGCCUGGCACAGAACUGUGUCUCAUUUUUUACCACCCAACAAACGGAAACAUCAGAGGCACAACAUAUUGAAGAGAGUCUGACUGCAUCCUUCCACAGUGGCCGUGAAGCCAAGCUAUCUGCUGCUGUCUAAUGAGAACGGAGAUGAGGUGUGAAAAGAGCUUUCUGCAGAGCGCCAUUCUGGAUUUAAAAAUUGCCCUUACGUAAGUUUAAGAUUAUCCCCACCAUCAUGGCUGGACAAAAGCUCUGUGAAUAAAUUCCUGGCUCACACCCAUGUGAGAAAGAGAGAGGCAGUUCUUCUUAACACGCAAGACACCAUCUUUCCAGUCUCAUCAUUUCAUGUGGAUGGAUUUCUUUCUUGUCUAUCUGGAAAUUUGGUCACAAAAAAUACAACUAAUUAACCUGUGCUUUCCAGCACAAAACUCUCAAAGAGACAAACAGGAUUCCCCAAAAUCAACUAAUGUGUUGCAUUUUUCACAUCUGGAAGAUUAAACUCAAGUGAAGGAAUUGCCUCAUGCUGGCAUGCAAGCAGCACUUCAAAGCACUCAUUAGAUGUCUGCAAGAUUGUUUUGCACUUUGAGGCAAACAAAAAUAUUAUUUGGUUGCACACAGCGUACAAUCUGAUAUCUCUUUGUGAGAUAAGGGUGCCGGAGGACACAAGGUGCUAUUUGCUUCCUCUGAAUUAGACCUUUAUAUUAUCCUUCAAGAAAUUGCAAGUUUGUGGAAAUUUUAAUGAUUCAGUGAGAAAUGUCCCCGCAUCAAAAGACGCUUAGAAUGAGGUCCUACGAGGAAAAUCUAACAACACAGAGAGUAUGAUGCUGCAUUCGUGUCUCCGACUGCCCAUCUCUGCUCCUGUUUUCUCCUCCUCCCAGUCCCUCUGGACUCUGCAGUGCAAUCACCAACUUAAAUGUGUAUCCGUCUCAAACUCAGAGAAUACAGCGUGUGGCCUAGUUUAAUCUUUGGACUGACCUUAUCCUUGCAAAAAAGCUUGCUUGUCUAAAGUUAUAAGAUCUGCAGUAAAUCCUGUGGGUCCAAAAUAAUUUGGAUACUCAGAGAUGUAUACAGUCACUUUGAUGGCAUUGAGUGUUGUUGUCAUUGUGUAGAUUGUUCCAUGUAUUUGCUUGAAAUAUAUAAAAAGUAGAUGAUGACAUUGUACUACAAACUGUCCACAAAUGAUGCAUUGAGCUGGAAAAGAUCAGGGACUGUAAUACGGAGAAGAGUAUUUUGUGAAUGUAUCUACUGUAUGUAUCCUGUUUUGUUAACACUGGGUUGAGUCUUUUUCUUGUAAAGUGUGGACUUUUACAAAUCACUAACGCCAUAUGUUUUCCAGUGGGACUUGUCUUGAAAGAUGUGUUCAUUUCCAACCAGCUGAUGGUGGGUACACACCAUGGUAACAGUAAUAGUAAGUCGGACGAGGCCCCUUAAUGACUGAAGAUCUACCUAAAAAAUGUGUAAGAACAAAAUUUAAGAUCUUGUGAAAAUUUUCCCAACCUUUCCUGUUUUUCAUCUUAUUCCAUCUUUCUUAUCUCUUUGUGUGAGUGCAUUUCUCUCACCUUGCUCGCUGUCUAUGUUCUCUUUACCAAAUAUCUUCCGGUUAGAUGUUUGGGAAAAGGCAUUGUAUGCUGCUGUCAGUCAACUAGAUUACAGCUCUGGAGGAUCCUUAUUGCUCACCUUCCGAAAAUAAGUAGAUGCCUCCUGACUUUGCCAGCUAGAAAUAUCUGUAGGUGUGUGUUCUUCCCGUUCUCGGAGGUUGUGGUACAAAAGAAAACAUGAGAGACAUAAUUGGAAGACUAAAUCUGAAUUUGAUCCAACAAAGCUGCAAUUAAAGAAUCCUCACACUCUAUUACCCUGUAGAUGCAAAGAUCUAAAAAAGCAGAACACGUGUGCUUCAAACCCUUAAUCCCUUUUCAUUUUAUUUGUUUUGCAGCUAUGUUCAUAUAUAUAUUUUUUUUUUUACAUCAAUUCUCUGUUCACCUGUCAACAUCCCCACUGAGCUAGCUGUCAGCUUAGUUAAUCGUGGCCUUGUGAGGUUUACAGUGUUUUUAUGGCUAAGAGAUGCAUAUUACUGCUGUAAGAGGCUUUGCUCUAUCAUUAGCACUAUGGGCACACAAUGCUUACUGCAUGCAAAGUGAUGAUGGACAAGGAGCGUAUAACUCCUCAUCGGUUCAAAGUCAAACCAUCAAAAAAGUUCAGUGUGAAAACCAUCAUGAAGCCCCUUAACGUGCUUGUCUCUAUUCACUCCUAAAAUUGUUUAGAAUUUGAUGGGGCACAGCUUCACUUGGUACAAUUGUAUCUAUAUAAAGCAAGUAGUGGCUGCAAUGGUGUGUGUCUCAGUUAAGAGAGAGUGGAGGUGAGAGAGUGGAGGUGGGUUGUUGCAUGGUCGUUCUUUUUGCCCUCUUGCUGCGUGUCAGGUUAUGAGAUUCUGAAGAUGUGCAGGUGAGACCUGCUGAAGAUGUGCAGAGAAAGCUAGGAGAGCAGUUUUGGGAGAUGGGGGGCAAUUAGUUUUUUUUUUUUUUUUGGGUUGAAAUUGGAUUUUAUUUUUGUCCACUCUGAGACCUACGUCUUAUCCUGCAACCCAGUCCUCCCACUCAAUUUCCAUCUCACCGUGCGAAAAUUGAAGUGAUAUAAAGAUGUGAGCUAGAGAUGGAGAAGACAGGCAGAGAUGGUUGAAAAGGAGGGCAAGGUAAUGGCAAAAAGAUGCAUACAGCGAGAUAUUGGUGAGAGUGAGAUGCAGGGCGAAAAAGGUGGCAGCACACAGAUGUCAACAUUUCCAGUGCACAGCAGCAAAUGUCUUGACCAGAUUCCUUAUGAUAGCCUUUUACUCAUGUGAAGAAACAAAUUAUGUAGCUACCACACUCCAGUAAGUUAGUUUCUUUAAACUGCUCAGCUUCAAAUACAAACUACUGAAAAUGAAUGCAUAAGAAACCAGCAAUUUACAUAAAUGGUAGUAGGGUACAUAGCUUUAAAAUCAUGUAUCUAAUUUUUCUAUGACCACUUAGUAUUCAAAACGUAGGUGAAAUGAAACAAAGCCAGCUGUGCUCACUCAAGUGGAAAGACAGACACUCAUACAUACAUAUAAAUAGUGACAGAGAUGGCUCAUCAUAGAUGCAUUACACUUUGUGAUGUGAUAACAGGGCGGUCAAACUAAAUCUCUGUACUUCAUAUGCAUUCCAAAUCCCUAUUUCUUGUAAGGUCUACAAUAAAAAGUAUUUAACAGAUUCACCAGCAUGCAUAAAAAGAGAAGGAGAAAAUCAUUUGCUGAAAGUAAAGAGAGAAAUCAAUGAAUAGAAAAAGGCCCUAUUAGCAAUGGUGGGACGAGUUGUGUUCAUUUGGUUUGCAUGUAUAGGUCGACAGCCCAUUAGACAGCUUUAAAAGGAAAUCAGAUUCUGGCCUUCCUCCAAAGACAUUACGGGAUGGGGUCAGGCUGAAGACAAACUGGUAAUUGACCAAUAGAUUCAGGUAAAUUGUUGGUCCCUGGAAGAAACAACAAUUUUGUUAAUUGCAUUUUUACCACUGGGUGAGGGGAUUUUGGAUUGCAGGUGUACAACAGCAAUGACAGUUGGCCGCAAUGGGCCCAACAUCUGACAGUCCUAUUACUUCUACUUCUGUAAACACAUGUCUACCAGCUCAAACGCAAAUAGUCCAGUAAUGCAGUUAGUAUAAAGUAUUCUGGCAUGUUGCAUUGGAAAAAAAACAACAGCCUAGAACGUUGUAAAUAUAAACACAGAGAUAGGUUUGGCACAUUCUAACAAAUUUUAAAAACAGGUGGUAAUACGUUCUACAUAAAUAAAGGGUUAGGGUUGGUUCAGCUAGACAAAAACUGAAGUCAAUUGAAUACUAACAAACCCUCAGGAGCCACCUGUCAGUCAAACUAAUGGACACUAACAAUAGUAAGGUCAAUGCUUUUUACCUCCACAGGGAGGUUGUGUUUUUAGUUUGUGUCUAUCUGUAAGCAGGAUUACGGAAAAAACUACUUGCCUGAUUUACAUAAAACUUAUUGGAAACGUGUGGUGUGGGCUAAGGAAGAACCCAUUACAUUUUGGACCUGAUCCAUAUUAUGUGGCAGACACACUAAUUCCUGAUUUAUUUUCGUCAAAAUUGCAAGAUAUGGCAUGCAUGGCCUUGGCCUAGGUCUGCACUCUCCAAGCUCUUUUAGUUUAUGAAUGUUUUUUGUGUUACUGCAAAUUGUACUUUUGUGUAUCCUGCUAAGU